rnacentral:rRNA from 1 species
CUGAAAUUCGCCUUCAUGAAGCCGGAAUUGCUAGUAAUGGCAGGUCAGCAUACUGCCGUGAAUACGUUCCCGGGCCUUGUACACACCGCCCGUCACACCAUGAGAGUUGGGAAUACCCGAAGCCUGUGAGCUAACUUUUAGAGGCAGCAGUCGAAGGUAGAAUCAAUGAUUGGGGUGAAGUCGUAACAAGGUACC